rnacentral:pre_miRNA from 1 species
UAACUACUCCCUCCGUUCGGAAUUACUUGUCUCGAAAAUGGAUGUAUCUAAAACUAAAAUACAUCUAGAUACAUCCAUUUUCACGACAAGUAAUUCCAAACGGAGGGAGUAGUUU